rnacentral:rRNA from 1 species
CACUCCUGCGGGAGGCAGCAGUGGGGAAUUUUGGACAAUGGGCGAAAGCCUGAUCCAGCAAUGCCGCGUGUGUGAAGAAGGCCUUCGGGUUGUAAAGCACUUUUGUCCGGAAAGAAAUCCUUGGCUCUAAUACAGUCGGGGGAUGACGGUACCGGAAGAAUAAGCACCGGCUAACUACGUGCCAGCAGCCGCGGUAAUACGUAGGGUGCGAGCGUUAAUCGGAAUUACUGGGCGUAAAGCGUGCGCAGGCGGUUUGCUAAGACCGAUGUGAAAUCCCCGGGCUCAACCUGGGAACUGCAUUGGUGACUGGCAGGCUAGAGUAUGGCAGAGGGGGGUAGAAUUCCACGUGUAGCAGUGAAAUGCGUAGAGAUGUGGAGGAAUACCGAUGGCGAAGGCAGCCCCCUGGGCCAAUACUGACGCUCAUGCACGAAAGCGUGGGGAGCAAACAGGAUUAGAAACCCGAGUAGUCCCAUG